UGGGGAAUAUUGGACAAUGGACCGAGAGUCUGAUCCAGCAAUUCUGUGUGCACGAUGAAGUUUUUCGGAAUGUAAAGUGCUUUCAGUUGGGAAGAAAGAAAUGACGGUGCCAACAGAAGAAGUGACGGCUAAAUACGUGCCAGCAGCCGCGGUAAUACGUAUGUCACGAGCGUUAUCCGGAUUUAUUGGGCGUAAAGCGCGUCUAGGUGGUUAUAUAAGUCUGAUGUGAAAAUGCAGGGCUCAACUCUGUAUUGCGUUGGAAACUGUAUAACUAGAGUACUGGAGAGGUAAGCGGAACUACAAGUGUAGAGGUGAAAUUCGUAGAUAUUUGUAGGAAUGCCGAUGGGGAAGCCAGCUUACUGGACAGAUACUGACGCUGAAGCGCGAAAGCGUGGGUAGCAAACAGGAUUAGAUACCCUGGUAGUCCACGCUGUAAACGAUGAUUACUAGGUGUUGGGGGUCGAACCUCAGCGCCCAAGCAAACGCGAUAAGUAAUCCGCCUGGGGAGUACGUACGCAAGUAUG
rnacentral:rRNA from 1 species